rnacentral:rRNA from 1 species
GACGAACGCUGGCGGCGUGCUUAACACAUGCAAGUCGAACGGAAAGGCCCUGCUUUUGUGGGGUGCUCGAGUGGCGAACGGGUGAGUAACACGUGAGUAACCUGCCCUUGACUUUGGGAUAACUUCAGGAAACUGGGGCUAAUACCGGAUAGGAGCUCCUGCUGCAUGGUGGGGGUUGGAAAGUUUCGGCGGUUGGGGAUGGACUCGCGGCUUAUCAGCUUGUUGGUGGGGUAGUGGCUUACCAAGGCUUUGACGGGUAGCCGGCCUGAGAGGGUGACCGGCAACAUUGGGAUGGGGAGCGGGCCAGGCCUCCGAGGGGAGGAGGCGGGGGGAAUUGUGGAAAAAGGGGGGGAGGCUGGAGGCAGCAACGCCGGGUGGGGGAGGAGGGCUUGGGGUUGGAAACCGGUUUUCGCCGGUGAGGAAGGGGGGGGGCGGGAAAGGUGAAAAGAAAACCCGCCAAACUAGGGC